CACAGUUAGCCGGUUCCUGUGCAGCAAAUUACUGCGCACGGAUUCCUGGCUCCUGUGCAUAGCGAGGGAAGCUUGUGGAGGCGGGGGGGAGGGGGGAUAUGGGAAUGUGUGUGUGAAUGUUUAGCUCAGUCCUCAGUUCAUGAGUCCGAAUGUUUGUGUAUGCGUGUAGCCCAUCUUCUUCCGUCUCAGACCUCCGGUGUCUCAGAUUCGCGAGGGUGGGAGCGCAAUAACACAAUAAGGUUGCUAUGGAGAUUUUCCAGAAGCUCAGGCCAGUGAACAAGCCGAUUAUCAGCAGGCCUGUCAUCAUGUACUUUCAUGUUACAGCUGACUUAAAUCAGUGUGUUUUGGCUAUUGGCAGGUGGAAUGGAGUGGUUGCAACCAGGAAGGAGCAGGUAUAUUAUGAAUGAUUUUUUUUCCAGUAAGUCAGGUUUGUUUAUUUCUUUUUUAUUCCUUUUUUUUUGAAGGUGGAGGGGGCGGGGGAUGUAUUAGAGCACUGUAUAAAUGAAAACAUUUGUCUUAAAUUGCUCUAAGUUUGACAGUUGGAGAGGAAGUGGAGGCUGUCAAUGCAUACCUCUCUCGUGUUGCAAUAACCACAAAGUACAUGUCCAAAGCAAGACGCACUGACAUGAUAACAAUUCAUGCUCAUGGAUGGAAUUUGAAGAAGAAGCAGAUCUUGCAUCGAUACCUGUCUCAGAGAUAUGUGAAGACUAAGAAGAGGACAGUUGAAGUGGAGAAGGAUGUAGAGAACCUGGCAACAACACUGCAGACAACAGAAGGGGGAAUAAAGCAGUGAGUGAAGGACGUUGAGGAGUGGGCUGCAUCAAGUCCUAAGUCCACCAACAGCCAGGACCAACAGGGACUGCAGCCGGUUAUGGAGGGGCUUGUCCUUAAAAUUAAACAAUGAAAAAUAGAACUGUACAGAGCCAUAGAUAAUAAUAAAGACCACAAGCCUAAACGGGAGCUUAUUGCCGAGGAAAAGCAGAAACUGGAGGAGGCUAUUGCAGUUUACAACAACCUUGUGCCAGAAACCGAGGCUGUUGAUACAGCAGAUGCAGUUUUAAGUCGAAACUUUCCUAUUUGGCCAUGGGAUUCUGCAUCCACAAUUCCCCUGGAGACAAAGAAGUAGUCUAUGACAAAGUCAUGCUGUUAUCUCCACUUCGAGAGGAGGAUGGCAUUCAGAGAUGAAGAAUCACUGUUGAUGCCUGAUGGGAUCUUCAAAAGGUUUAAAAAGGGAGAUCCAGCAGAUUGAGAAAGACUUGUGUGAACAUAGGUGUCCAUUUACCACGUCCUUGGAGGCAUAUGAGGGACUGAAGGUCAAACUUGAGAAAAAAACUCCAGGAGGUGAAGAAAAACAUGGAAGAGGCAUUUGGCACAUACAAGUUAGAACACAAGAUGCAGGGUGUAUGUGCAUGCGUCAUAUCCAACACUUUACUGUACACAAGAUGAAAGAUAAUUUUUAUGUAUUCCAUUAAUGCAGUUACUGUAAUAUUUACCUCAGCAUUCCUUAAUAUUAUUGGAAAUUAUACUAUACAGAUUUGUCUAUUGUCAAACUGUCA